UACGUAGGGCGCAAGCGUUGUCCGGAAUUAUUGGGCGUAAAGAGCUCGUAGGCGGCCAGUUGCGUCCGCUGUGAAAUCCCGGGGCUUAACCCCGGGCGUGCAGUGGAUACGGGCUGGCUAGAGGCAGGCAGGGGAGAACGGAAUUCCCGGUGUAGCGGUGAAAUGCGCAGAUAUCAGGAGGAACACCGAUGGCGAAGGCAGAUCUCUGGGCCGUAACUGACGCUGAGGAGCGAAAGCGUGGGGAGCGAACAGG
rnacentral:rRNA from 1 species